UCAGACAUAAAUGCCUAUGAGGUAAGCAUUGUUACAAGUGUUGGAAAUUUCCAUAUGUAAUAACUAUCUUUAUAUUAUCCAGUUCCCUUCCAAUAUGCUUCUUAUAUGCCUGUGCUGUGGCCUUAACUGCGGACUCUGGGCAUUAACCAAAGUAGAUUUCUGUUUCCUCCCUAAUAUUACUGUCUAACCUUAUAUACGCCAAUCUUUGCCUUGUGCAGGCAGUGACAAAUCUGUGCUUACCUUUUAAACAUGUUAUAUAUUUUCCAUUAUCGAUACAUUUGUUGUGUUGAUUGCUUCUGCAUAUAUUCAUCAAGCUUUUUGGGAAUUGUUCAGGUUGAUUUGGGAACGGAUGCUAGUCACUGCUUUUGCAAAGCUGGUGAUUUAUUGGCUGUGGUUGAGUGAAUUUCAGCAAUUGGACAAGAUUUCUAAAGAAAAUGUUCUUUAGGGUUUUAGUGGGGCGUUGUUGCCACAAUUGCAUUAAGCUAUGAGGGACUGUAAACUCUGUAUUUCAAAAGACGGGUACAGCAAUCAGUUAUAAAUGUGCAAAAAUGAGGGUUUUUACUCAUAAUGACAAAUAAUGUUUUGCAUUGUUAGCUGACAUUGUGGACUUGAUUCUUUUCCGAGUAUUUCACUAUUUCUCAAUGAACUUGAACCCCUUUGGGAAUUCGAUGGUGAUAGGCACCCUAUUGUAACCUGCAAGUUUUAUGCAGGUAAGAGGUGAGCCGAUAAUUCAUGGUUUUGUUUUUCCUAGGAUAACUUUAACGGCCAUAAUUUGAAUUACCUUUGUUUGACGAACCAAACUUCUAUUGUUCCCUUGGGACCGACCUUCGUUGGAACAAUACCUUUCCUAGAAUUCACUUGUAUGACCUACGCUUGUAUUAACUACUGGUGUUACAAUAAAAGUCGUCUUUUGAUUCCCAUUUGAAUGAAAGAUCGCCUGUAUUUUAAGUCAAGCGAUAUGAAU
rnacentral:misc_RNA from 1 species